AUAAUGGGUCAGCGACUUAUAUUCUGUAGCAAGGUUAACCGAAUAGGGGAGCCGAAGGGAAACCGAGUCUUAACUGGGCGUUAAGUUGCAGGGUAUAGACCCGAAACCCGGUGAUCUAGCCAUGGGCAGGUUGAAGGUUGGGUAACACUAACUGGAGGACCGAACCGACUAAUGUUGAAAAAUUAGCGGAUGACUUGUGGCUGGGGGUGAAAGGCCAAUCAAACCGGGAGAUAGCUGGUUCUCCCCGAAAGCUAUUUAGGUAGCGCCUCGUGAAUUCAUCUCCGGGGGUAGAGCACUGUUUCGGCAAGGGGGUCAUCCCGACUUACCAACCCGAUGCAAACUGCGAAUACCGGAGAAUGUUAUCACGGGAGACACACGGCGGGUGCUAACGUCCGUCGUGAAGAGGGAAACAACCCAGACCGCCAGCUAAGGUCCCAAAGUCAUGGUUAAGUGGGAAACGAUGUGGGAAGGCCCAGACAGCCAGGAUGUUGGCUUAGAAGCAGCCAUCAUUUAAAGAAAGCGUAAUAGCUCACUGGUCGAGUCGGCCUGCGCGGAAGAUGUAACGGGGCUAAACCAUGCACCGAAGCUGCGGCAGCGACACUGUGUGUUGUUGGGUAGGGGAGCGUUCUGUAAGCCUGCGAAGGUGUGCUGUGAGGCAUGCUGGAGGUAUCAGAAGUGCGAAUGCUGACAUAAGUAACGAUAAAGCGGGUGAAAAGCCCGCUCGCCGGAAGACCAAGGGUUCCUGUCCAACGUUAAUCGGGGCAGGGUGAGUCGACCCCUAAGGCGAGGCCGAAAGGCGUAGUCGAUGGGAAACAGGUUAAUAUUCCUGUACUUGGUGUUACUGCGAAGGGGGGACGGAGAAGGCUAUGUUGGCCGGGCGACGGUUGUCCCGGUUUAAGCGUGUAGGCUGGUUUUCCAGGCAAAUCCGGAAAAUCAAGGCUGAGGCGUGAUGACGAGGCACUACGGUGCUGAAGCAACAAAUGCCCUGCUUCCAGGAAAAGCCUCUAAGCAUCAGGUAACAUCAAAUCGUACCCCAAACCGACACAGGUGGUCAGGUAGAGAAUACCAAGGCGCUUGAGAGAACUCGGGUGAAGGAACUAGGCAAAAUGGUGCCGUAACUUCGGGAGAAGGCACGCUGAUAUGUAGGUGAAGUCCCUCGCGGAUGGAGCUGAAAUCAGUCGAAGAUACCAGCUGGCUGCAACUGUUUAUUAAAAACACAGCACUGUGCAAACACGAAAGUGGACGUAUACGGUGUGACGCCUGCCCGGUGCCGGAAGGUUAAUUGAUGGGGUCAGCGCAAGCGAAGCUCUUGAUCGAAGCCCCGGUAAACGGCGGCCGUAACUAUAACGGUCCUAAGGUAGCGAAAUUCCUUGUCGGGUAAGUUCCGACCUGCACGAAUGGCGUAAUGAUGGCCAGGCUGUCUCCACCCGAGACUCAGUGAAAUUGAACUCGCUGUGAAGAUGCAGUGUACCCGCGGCAAGACGGAAAGACCCCGUGAACCUUUACUAUAGCUUGACACUGAACAUUGAGCCUUGAUGUGUAGGAUAGGUGGGAGGCUUUGAAGUGUGGACGCCAGUCUGCAUGGAGCCGACCUUGAAAUACCACCCUUUAAUG
rnacentral:rRNA from 1 species